rnacentral:rRNA from 1 species
CAGAUUGAACGCUGGCGGCAGGCCUAACACAUGCAAGUCGAGCGGAAACGACACUAACAAUCCUUCGGGUGCGUUAAUGGGCGUCGAGCGGCGGACGGGUGAGUAAUGCCUAGGAAAUUGCCUUGAUGUGGGGGAUAACCAUUGGAAACGAUGGCUAAUACCGCAUAAUGCCUACGGGCCAAAGAGGGGGAUCUUCGGACCUCUCGCGUCAAGAUAUGCCUAGGUGGGAUUAGCUAGUUGGUGAGGUAAUGGCUCACCAAGGCGACGAUCCCUAGCUGGUCUGAGAGGAUGAUCAGCCACACUGGAACUGAGACACGGUCCAGACUCCUACGGGAGGCAGCAGUGGGGAAUAUUGCACAAUGGGCGAAAGCCUGAUGCAGCCAUGCCGCGUGUAUGAAGAAGGCCUUCGGGUUGUAAAGUACUUUCAGUUGUGAGGAAGGGGGUAACGUUAAUAGCGUUAUCUCUUGACGUUAGCAACAGAAGAAGCACCGGCUAACUCCGUGCCAGCAGCCGCGGUAAUACGGAGGGUGCGAGCGUUAAUCGGAAUUACUGGGCGUAAAGCGCAUGCAGGUGGUUCAUUAAGUCAGAUGUGAAAGCCCGGGGCUCAACCUCGGAACUGCAUUUGAAACUGGUGAACUAGAGUGCUGUAGAGGGGGGUAGAAUUUCAGGUGUAGCGGUGAAAUGCGUAGAGAUCUGAAGGAAUACCAGUGGCGAAGGCGGCCCCCUGGACAGACACUGACACUCAGAUGCGAAAGCGUGGGGAGCAAACAGGAUUAGAUACCCUGGUAGUCCACGCCGUAAACGAUGUCUACUUGGAGGUUGUGGCCUUGAGCCGUGGCUUUCGGAGCUAACGCGUUAAGUAGACCGCCUGGGGAGUACGGUCGCAAGAUUAAAACUCAAAUGAAUUGACGGGGGCCCGCACAAGCGGUGGAGCAUGUGGUUUAAUUCGAUGCAACGCGAAGAACCUUACCUACUCUUGACAUCCAGAGAAGCCAGCGGAGACGCAGGUGUGCCUUCGGGAACUCUGAGACAGGUGCUGCAUGGCUGUCGUCAGCUCGUGUUGUGAAAUGUUGGGUUAAGUCCCGCAACGAGCGCAACCCUUAUCCUUGUUUGCCAGCGAGUAAUGUCGGGAACUCCAGGGAGACUGCCGGUGAUAAACCGGAGGAAGGUGGGGACGACGUCNAGUCAUCAUGGCCCUUACGAGUAGGGCUACACACGUGCUACAAUGGCGCAUACAGAGGGCAGCAAGCUAGCGAUAGUGAGCGAAUCCCAAAAGUGCGUCGU